AAAAAAAAGGCAAAACAAAAUGAGCAUUUGAUGCGGCGAUGAAUAUAACAGGACCAGAACUGAUCUAGAAGCAUAUUUUCACAUGUUAUUUCACUCAGUUCAACAAUUAACAACAAAAACAUUUAUUUUCCUCAGUGGUUCAAUAUGAGUACUUCGUGGUUGCUCUUUUCGAUCAUUUACUCAAUUUGUGGAGAAUAUUCAGCCAUUGUUGCUGAACUAGAGAUGCACCAAUUAAUCAAGCCAAGGACAAAAACGGUUAAUUUUGUCUUGACCAGUUCUGACAACAGAUCGGCACAUCAAACACUAAAAACAUCUAAUUCAUUAAAUGCAUCAAAGCAAAGAACGCCCAUCAUCCUUGGUCUAUAAAUGCAUCAGCUAACAGCUAAAAGAAGGCUGAAACACCUUCUCCCUCGCUUACAAGAAACAUUUUGUUCCCCUGAAAGAUUUCUGGGUGUGAGACACCUGAAUAGUCGAAGUAUAAAAGUUUAAAGGUACACCACUCAUUCCUGUCAUUAGGACGGAGGCUAUCUUCUUUAUCUUUGCCUUAAUAUAUAAAGAAGAAAACAGUAUAAUAUUCUGUGCAAUAACUAAACUCCUACGGAAUUUACUGUUUUUUUGCACAGGUCUAAGUUUAACUUAGUUAAACAUGAGUUUAACUAAAUAAGUUUGCACAAUAUACUGUAAACUAGGCUUCAAUGCAGUGAUUGAUCACAGAUAUUAGCCAGUGUUUAAAAUCCAAGUGUUUAAACAAAAAGGAGCUCAUAGUAGAUAAGGUAACAAUGAGCCAUUAUUGUUAACACACCAAGCUAUACUAAAACAGUUUUGGGAACAGAAUUAUGUUGCUGUUAGCUGCUUUGCAUCGUGGGCCUUGUAGUUUGUUAGUUAGAACUCCUGGAUGUAGUUAUUGCUUGUCAAGACUCUGAGGAGACCCUGAUCUGUUCAUCUAUCCUUGUAUCUGCAGAUGGGAAGUAUCUGAAAUUCCAGCAACUUAAUCCAGAAAGGUGAAAAGAUAUUUGUCUAUUUGGGAUUUCUUAAUGUUUCAGAUGAUUAAACAACUUAUAAUAUCAUCCUAGGAUAAACAGAGAAAAUACAAAGUUGUGGUUUUCAAAUGACAUUUUAACUUAUGAAGGCAAGUAGCUAUCCAGACCAACCUGGCCCUAUAGGAAUAACUAAUUGCCCCCUCAAACCCAGUAACUGGUCAUGCCACCCUUGACGGCAAGAACUGCCAUCAAGUGUUUGUGAUAACCAGCAAUGAACCUUUUACGUCGCUGUGGAGGACUUUUGGUCCACUCUUCCUUGCAGAAAUGUUUUAAUUCAGCCAUACUGGAGGGUUUUUAAUAAAGAACAGCAUAUUUACAGCAUCUCCACCAGAUUUAAGUCUGGUCUUUGACUAGCCAAAGCUUUGAACUAUUUCUUUGUUUUGAGCCAUUUAAAGGUAGACUUGCUGUUGUUGCUUUGAUUAUUGUCCUGCUUCAUAAGCCAAGUUCACUGGAGCUUAUGGUAACAAACCGUUGAACAAUAAUUCUCCUUCAGGAUUUUCUGGCAGAGAUUUAUGGUUCCAUCCGUUGAGAGAGGUCAACCAGGAAGCAGCUUAUCCACCCUGGACCAUCACAUUACCACCACUGUGUUUGCCUGUGGGUAAGAAGGCCUGUUUCUAAACUACUGUUAUGCCAGAUAUAAUGUGACACACACCUUCCAAAAACUUCUUCUUUACUCUCAUCAGUCCACAGAUUAUUUCCCCCAAAGUGUUGAGGAUCAUUGGAAUGUUUUUGACAAAUGCGAGACGGGCUUUUGAGUUAUUUUUGUUCAGCAGUGUUUUUUGCCUUGGGGUGUUAUUUCUGCCCUUUGUAGCCCCUUCCAGAUGGAUAGUUGUCCAUGAAUGUAUUUCUAAUCUGCUCUUGAAUUCCUUUUAGCCUACUUUCCUUUGGGAUUAAUAAAGUAUUUUUGAAUUGAAUUGAAUUCAUGUUGUCAGUCGGGUUCUGCUUAAGUACAUUUUUGAUUCUACAUGUCUGGCAGUAAUCAGGGUAACGUGGGUGCGCCUCAUAAAAUGUAUCUUGUGGUUAAUCACAGUUUUUCUACACAAACAAGUAUAUUCUCACUCACAUAUUUGCAUGAUGAAGACCAGUUGUGUAUGUAAACCUAACCACACGUGAUUUAGGUUUGGUUGUGUUUACAAAUGUUCUGUACUCCAACAUUUCCUGACAAGUUUGAUAAAGUGACGGGGAGUGAGUGCUGCACAAAGGAGAUGAAGAGGCAGCUGGCAGCGAUGACACAAUGCAGAUUUGAGAUGCCUUUAGCCUUUUAAUUAAACCAUCAGUUUCUAAAUGGCGACAGCCUCCAUCGGUAGUCCAGGGAGGGCCGUCCAAACAUAACAAUUAAAUUAAACCUGAGAAAUGAACUGUUAGGCUGAGCUCAGCUGCUAAAGUCAGUCCAGAUGAUUAGACUGACGGCUGUUCGGUGAUAAGACUUGUAGCUAACGGUUAAUCACAUGUAAACAUAACGAACUUAAAUACCAGCUGCCACUCCAGGUAACGGUUGCCAUGGUGAUAAAUAGCCGUUACUUUAGCACGGUCCGCUCAGAGCAGCUAACUGCUUGACUUUACGUGUGUUCUGCUGUUUUUGUUGUGUUUUGACGUUAGCUGCUAGGAGGCUAGCAGGCUAGCCUCAGCUAGGCAGGCUCUGUGGAAAUAACAAAGCGACCCCUCACACAAACAGCAAUAAAUCACAGCUCUGCUUACACGGUGAUGUGCCCGGCCCCUCGCAUGACCACGGGCUCCGGACAGUAUCUGGAGAUGUCAUCCAAUGGUUACUGGACUGCAGUCAGCAUCGGUAAGGACUGUCCAGGACCUGCUUCAUUGUCUAUGCCCGCUGUUCCCUGCAGGGUUCUGGUGGAGCUGUUGCCUAUCUGUCCAGGACCUGUGUCUCACUGACAAGCCUCGUUCUCCAGCUCGGUGCAGGUGAACCUCUUUGGGGACAGUCGGUUUGGCAUGCAGAUUUCCACACAGCAGGCUUGCAUGUCUGGACCGGCCUGGCGUGUCUGAGCGCCGCAUCUUUAUUUGAACCGCAUCUGAAAUCCACAUCUUCUCCACAGAUAAGCAAAUUGAGCUGCUUUUGAUCUGGUUUUGAUGACAAAGUGAAUUUCAAAGAACCACGGGUCGAGUUUCUCCUCUUAUUUAUGAGUGGUAACUCCGGGAGAGGAAAGGGAGGCUGGCGCAUAUCAAAGUGAGGGAGGUGAUGAACGCAAGGACUGCUGCCUGGAUAUGACUGGCAGCACUGGAAGCAGCAAACAAUGUAACAGGGAAGUCGAGCUCACAUCUCCAGGAAUAAUGACAUUAACAUCACAACUGGGCAUGGCGCCGAUUCCUCACACCUUUUUUUCGAUUUCCACCCGCAGGAGCAGAGUUCACUGGGCCGAGCUGCAGGGGACAAUGGCCCGAGGAACAGACAGGCUGCCGACACCUUGUCACAACUAGGAAGUGAGUCUUUCAUAAUCCGAGGAGCAGGAGCGGAGCCCAGCACAGAUGCCACACUCCAGUACAAACAAACCUCAGUGGGAAUAAUUGAGAAGCGUUGGACUGCUGUUUUCUAACACAUUGUCGGCAACAAGGACCCAGGAGGUAUUUAGAUACAUAUGAAAGGUCAGGGAGGCAAUUAAAGGGAACAUUUUUAUACUGAAAAUCUUUAUAAGUGUUUUUUUUACCAUGAAGAAAUUACCACCUUUCAGCAAAAAGUGACAGAAAAGUCGAACCAAAUAAAACAAACAUAUCAACUUACUCCCAAGAGUGUUAAAAAUGUCCAAGAGGAUCCUUAAAUAACUGAAACUGAUUAUUUUCUGUACAUACAAACAGAAAUAAUUACUCUUGUCAUGCUAAAACGUUAACUGUUAACAUGUAACCUUAAUAAAGAAUAAUCCCUACUGGGCUGGACCAAUAAAUAAAGUGGUAACUUAGAUCUCACAAUGCAAUUUUAAAUAAAAAAAACAAGUUGCAAUUUA